rnacentral:rRNA from 1 species
AACGAACGCUGGCGGCAUGCCUAACACAUGCAAGUCGAACGAGACCUUCGGGUCUAGUGGCGCACGGGUGCGUAACGCGUGGGAACUUGCCCUUGGGUUCGGAAUAACUCCCUGAAAGGGGUGCUCAUACCGGAUAAUGUCUUCGGACCAAAGAUUUAUCGCCUUUGGAUGGGCGCGCGUUGGAUUAGUUAGUUGGUAGGGUAAAAGCCUACCAAGGCGACGAUACAUAGCUGGUCUGAGAGGAUGAUCAGCCACACUGGGACUGAGACACGGCCCAGACUCCUACGGGAGGCAGGAGUGGGGAAUAUUGCACAAUGGGCGAAAGCCUGAUGCAGCAAUGCCGCGUGAGUGAUGAAGGCCUUAGGGUUGUAAAGCUCUUUUACCCGGGAUGAUAAUGACGGUACCCGGAGAAGAAGCACCGGCUAACUCCGUG